UACGGGAGGCAGCAGUGGGGAAUAUUGCACAAUGGGCGAAAGCCUGAUGCAGCUAUGCCGCGUGUAUGAAGAAGGCCUUAGGGUUGUAAAGUACUUUCAUCGGGGAGGAAAAACAAACUAAUAAUUUUAUUUCUUGACGUUACCCGAAAAAGAAGCACCGGCUAACUCCGUGCCAGCAGCCGCGGUAAUACGGAGGGUGCUAGCGUUAAUCAGAAUUACUGGGCGUAAAGAGCACGUAGGUGGUUUUUUAAGUCAGAUGUGAAAUCCCUGGGCUUAACCUAGGAACUGCAUUUUGAAACUGAAAUACUAGAGUAUCGUAGAGGGAGGUAGAAUUCUAGGUGUAGCGGUGAAAUGCGUAGAUAUCUGGAGGAAUACCUGUGGCGAAAGCGGCCUCCUAAACGAAUACUGACACUGAGGUGCGAAAGCGUGGGGAGCGAAACAGGGAUUAGAUACC
rnacentral:rRNA from 1 species